AGAUAGCCACUGGCUCCAUGAAGAGUCAGGAAGCUGGUGACAAAGAAAUCGGAGGGCUGGAGGGUAAAAGCAGGCGAAGGUGAUACUCAGAGGAGAAGGACACUGGAGAAGUCAGUCCUGAACCCACCAAUGAGGCUUGCCCUCUCUCACCUGCUGCCAUGUAAGAUGUGCCUGCUUCACCUUCCGCCAUGAUUGUCAGUUUCCUGAGGCCUCCCCAGCCAUGUGGAACUGCUUUUGUGAAGGAAGAGAAGGCCCCUGAACCAUCCAUGGACGGCAGUUAUCAAGUCUACAGAAACAUCAAAUGAAAGUUAUCUUACCAAGUGUUAUCAUCUCUACUCAAAAACUCUACUGGCAAGUAAAUCAGAAGAAAUGGGCUAAAAUUACAACAUGAAAAAUAUAAGUUAGGCAUGCAGGGAAGUUUCCUACCUUAGAGGGUUGGUACAUAUUGUUAAAUAUCUUGAGGUUAGUUGACAGCUUUUCCUUCCAAAUCUGUCUGUGGGGAGUGAUGAGGGAAGGAGAGAAAUGACUGACAUUUAUUGUUAAGAAGGAGCUGGAAGUCUCAUGCAUGGUAUCAUAUUAACAUCACAUAAGCCCAGCCAGGGAUGUAUUAAGAACCUUAUAUAUUCAGAAAAGAAUUCAGGAUUGUUUGAGUUGGAUACAUUAUCCCCCAAGGUAAUACUGUUAGGAAAUGGUGGGAUUGGCCUUAAACCUAGCCUCUGAUGUUCCACAUUAUCACAUUUUGAUUUUUAAGAUAUGCACCUGGAUUUGGAAAGUUUUAUUGGCUAUAGGACAAGCAGGGAGAUAGACAAAGUUAAUGCUCACAAAGUCCUUUUCAAUCCCAGACAUCUGUGAGUCUAUGAUAUGUAACAAAUUAUUUCCUCUGCAGACCCAAACCGUAGGCUACAUUGUACAUAUUUUUUCCUUGUUUUCAGCUGUCAGCUACUUGACUGCCCCUCAUGGCCACUUUUCAAGUCUUGAUUGCCAAGCAUUUAUUUUCUUUUUCCAGUUUGUCUGGAAGACAGAAUGCCUCAGGAAGGGAUUGUUGGGUUUUUCAUAUAAAGCACGUGAAAUAUCUGUAAUUAUGGAUUACAUUUUUGUACCCAAUAUAUGGCUGAAAGGAGUCCUGUGAUAGAAACUUUUAGAAGAUAAUUGAAUGUGUCAGCUGCAUCAAGAAAUUAUGUACUUGCUUCACUUCAACAAACUGUGAUAAAUAGUCUAUUGUCUGGA
rnacentral:lncRNA from 1 species